UGGGGAAUAUUGCACAAUGGGCGCAAGCCUGAUGCAGCCAUGCCGCGUGUGUGAAGAAGGCCUUCGGGUUGUAAAGCACUGUCAGCGGGGAGGAAGGCGUUAAGGUUAAUAACCUUGGCGAUUGACGUUACCCGCAGAAGAAGCACCGGCUAACUCCGUGCCAGCAGCCGCGGUAAUACGGAGGGUGCAAGCGUUAAUCGGAAUUACUGGGCGUAAAGCGAGCGCAGGCGGUUUCUUAAGUCUGAUGUGAAAGCCCCCGGCUCAACCGGAGAGGGUCAUUGGAAACUGGGAGACUUGAGUGCAGAAGAGGGGAGUGGAAUUCCAUGUGUAGCGGUGAAAUGCGUAGAUAUAUGGAGGAACACCAGUGGCGAAGGCAGCUCUCUGGUCUGUAACUGACGCUGAGGCUCGAAAGCGUGGGGAGCGAACAGG
rnacentral:rRNA from 1 species